AGAGAAAAAGAGAGAGUUUUAUUAUGCUUUAUGGACCAUUCACACUCAAUCCAACCUUCACAACAAUUGCUUGUAUAAAGUGAGAUCUUGAACAAAUCAAGAUUUGGGUUUUGAAACCAUUUUUUCAUUAUUUCAGUCCAACUUUCCACUAUCCAAUCAGAUAAUAUAAAAGUGGGUUUUUAUAGAAUUCUUGAUUUGAUGAGUUU
rnacentral:misc_RNA from 1 species